rnacentral:rRNA from 1 species
UACGGAGGAUCCAAGCGUUAUCCGGAUUUAUUGGGUUUAAAGGGUGCGUAGGCGGCCUAUUAAGUCAGGGGUGAAAGACGGUAGCUUAACUAUCGCAGUGCCUUUGAUACUGAUGGGCUUGAAUGUACUUGAGGUAGGCGGAAUGUGACAAGUAGCGGUGAAAUGCAUAGAUAUGUCACAGAACACCAAUUGCGAAGGCAGCUUACUAAAGUAUGAUUGACGCUGAGGCACGAAAGCGUGGGGAUCAAGCAGG